rnacentral:rRNA from 1 species
UUUCAAAGGUUGACCUCGGAUCAGGUAGGGAUAC